rnacentral:rRNA from 1 species
CCUACGGGCGGCAGCAGUGGGGAAUAUUGGACAAUGGGCGAAAGCCUGAUCCAGCCAUGCCGCGUGUGUGAAGAAGGCCUUCGGGUUGUAAAGCACUUUCAGUGGGGAAGAAAGCCUUGGGGCUAAUACCCUCGAGGAAGGACAUCACCCACAGAAGAAGCACCGGCUAACUCCGUGCCAGCAGCCGCGGUAAUACGGAGGGUGCGAGCGUUAAUCGGAAUUACUGGGCGUAAAGCGCGCGUAGGCGGUCUGAUAAGCCGGUUGUGAAAGCCCCGGGCUCAACCUGGGAACGGCAUCCGGAACUGUCAGGCUAGAGUGCAGGAGAGGAAGGUAGAAUUCCCGGUGUAGCGGUGAAAUGCGUAGAGGUCGGGAGGAAUACCAGUGGCGAAGGCGGCCUUCUGGACUGACACUGACGCUGAGGUGCGAAAGCGUGGGUAGCAAACAGGAUUAGAUACCCUGGUAGUC